GAUGAACGCUGGCGGCGUGCCUAAUACAUGCAAGUCGAGCGAACAGACGAGGAGCUUGCUCCUCUGACGUUAGCGGCGGACGGGUGAGUAACACGUGGAUAACCUACCUAUAAGACUGGGAUAACUUCGGGAAACCGGAGCUAAUACCGGAUAAUAUAUUGAACCGCAUGGUUCAAUAGUGAAAGACGGUUUUGCUGUCACUUAUAGAUGAUCCGCGCCGCAUUAGCUAGUUGGUAAGGUAACGGCUUACCAAGGCAACGAUGCGUAGCCGACCUGAGAGGGUGAUCGGCCACACUGGAACUGAGACACGGUCCAGACUCCUACGGGAGGCAGCAGUAGGGAAUCUUCCGCAAUGGGCGAAAGCCUGACGGAGCAACGCCGCGUGAGUGAUGAAGGUCUUCGGAUCGUAAAACUCUGUUAUUAGGGAAGAACAAAUGUGUAAGAAACUAUGCACGUCUUGACGGUACCUAAUCAGAAAGCCACGGCUAACUACGUG
rnacentral:rRNA from 1 species